AUCCCAUGAUGCGGACAAGCUAAGAUAUAGUCCUAAAGAUGCUCCCAGGCUUCUGCGACUGAUUUGUCAUGGUUCUACUGAAAACUUGAGAUACGAUUCCGAAGGGU
rnacentral:snoRNA from 1 species